rnacentral:rRNA from 1 species
GAUGAACGCUGGCGGCGUGCCUAAUACAUGCAAGUCGAACGCGCAGCGAAAGGUGCUUGCACCUUUCAAGCGAGUGGCGAACGGGUGAGUAACACGUGGAUAACCUGCCUCAAGGCUGGGGAUAACAUUUGGAAACAGAUGCUAAUACCGAAUAAAACUUAGUAUCGCAUGAUACAAAGUUAAAAGGCGCUACGGCGUCACCUAGAGAUGGAUCCGCGGUGCAUUAGUUGGUUGGUGGGGUAAAGGCUUACCAAGACGAUGAUGCAUAGCCGAGUUGAGAGACUGAUCGGCCACAUUGGGACUGAGACACGGCCCAAACUCCUACGGGAGGCUGCAGUAGGGAAUCUUCCACAAUGGGCGCAAGCCUGAUGGAGCAACGCCGCGUGUGUGAUGAAGGCUUUCGGGUCGUAAAGCACUGUUGUAUGGGAAGAAAUGCUAAAAUAGGGAAUGAUUUUAGUUUGACGGUACCAUACCAGAAAGGGACGGCUAAAUACGUGCCAGCAGCCGCCGUAA